GACAGAGGUCCCAAGCGUUAGGCGGAAUCACUGGGCUUAAAGGCGUGUGUAGGUCGGACUUGUAAGUACCUUGUGAAAUCCCACGGCUCAACCGUGGGAACUGCUGGGUAUACUGCGAGUCUUGAGCCACCUAGGGGCGAGCGGAACAAGUGGUGGAGCGGUGAAAUGCGUAGAUGAUCACUUGGAACGCCAAUGGUGAAAACAGCCUCGCUGGGGGUGUGCUGACGCUGGAGACACGAAAGCCAGGGGAGGCAAAACAGG
rnacentral:rRNA from 1 species